rnacentral:lncRNA from 1 species
CAUUGGCUAUGCAUUCAGAUCGCAAUGUCAAUUCUUCCCAGUCUGAUAUGGAUAUGCAAGCGAAUAAACUACAGAUCAACUGGGACCGCUGGUUGACAUUCCUUUCUUGACAAGCAAGAGUUACGAAGCACGAUCACAUCUGUUACAGUGACUGUGAGGAGCUUGUUCAAAGUGGAGAAAAUGCCUUGGAUUCAGAGCAAGCAAUCAUGACUUAAUUAGAAAGCAGCAGGAAUCUUAUGGAUGGCUGAAAGAACCAGAGGUAACUCAUUUCCUGUUUUAGGACUACAAGCUGGUGAUCUCUAUAGCCUCGCUAGCAAGGGAGACACAAGACCAGAGAGACUUUUGAGCGACUCUCGCGUCAAAUUAGCACCCGGCAGAUUCCUGCUACAAAGAACCAGGCAACCGAAAAAGCCUGGAGACAGGCUGAUUGGUGCUGCGAGCCCUACACAGUAUGGUGUCUCGAGCAUGGCUGUAUGUGGGCUCUGGGUCUACCGAACGAACGCCUCUGCCAGUCUGUCUGGAUGUAAACUGUAUUUAAUGGUGUAUGAACAUCAAAGCGAUGGGGGUGGCAUUCAAAAUAAACACAUUUCAUUUAAUGCAGUUCGAUGGAAUUUUAUGAUGAAAGUGAUGAACAUCUCUCACUUCUGGUGGAAUUGGUGUAUAUUUUUGGACAGAAUGAUGAGUAACAAUAAAC